GAGGUUAUCAACAAAUUAUAAGUUUACGGGUACCAUGAGGAUUGUUCAUGCAUUUAAACGAAAGAAGUACAAGCGAACAGAUGACACAUUAAUGUGGCUGCAGAAGCUUGAAAAGUAAAAUAGAGCAGGGGCAGUCAAAACAAUGGGAUAAUACUUCUAUGUAAUUUCUUUUUAAAGGCAAUUUAUACAGGAUGGAAGGGUAUGUCAAGGGUAAUAUAAUGCCAGUUAUUACAAUUACAUUCCCCUAAACAUUUAACAGAUACACAUAAAAUGAUUUUAUGCAGUUUCAUGGAGGAUGGUACAGCCAACCAUUUUGAAUCGAGAAAUUUUGACUUAGGUAAAGAUAUCUACUCAGACUUCUUAUCUCUUAGCCUUUCAUAUGAUACAGAGAUAAAAGAACUACUAUUGUCAGCCACUAACCAUGUUUCAAAGCUUUUAAAUACACUAUAGCAUUAACCAUUUUGUUUAAAUAUCUUUUUAAUGCAAUGUUUUCUUGAUAUCUGUCACUUGAUGUUUUCAAUGGAUUAGAGUCCUAAUUUAAUGUAAAAUCUGUAAAUUUCAGUAAUUGAAGUACAAAAUAUGUAGGAAGCUGUUUCUUUAUUUCAGUGUAAAAUGUUCUGUGGAUUCAUAUGAUGAGAAUGCCAGUGUUGAUCUGUAUGACUUAAUUAAACACAGAUAUUGAUACCUUCAGAUAUAUACCUGUGAAAUCUUCGGUGUCACCGUUCAGCUAUUGUUUAAGAUCAGUGUCUGCAGCUUGUACAGUUUAGUAUAGAGGAGCCUUCUGAAUGAACUUUGUUACAUAUUUGUUGUUAUUGUAGGACACGCAUGUAGAGAGCAGCAAGUCCUGUCCAGCCGUGCAUGUAAAUGUGAUUCAGAAACUUUGAGAAUAUGUAAACAUUACACUGUUAUAAUUUUCAAAAUACUGUGUCUUGUAGUGUAUCAGUACUGUUUUGUCUCAGUUUAUAGCACAGUAUGUUCACAAAUUAAACAUAAGACCAUAGUGAUCAGUAUUAUCAAAAUCAUUAAUUAUUUGUAUGGUGACAAAAUUUUAUUUCAUGCAAUACCACAGUAAAACGUUUGAUAAUUUUCGCUUUUAAAGUUGUAAGUUUAAGGUUGGCAUAAAUUGUUUUUUCUUCUUUCAUAAAUCUAAAAAGUGAUUGGUCAUUAUAACUGCACUAUUAUUUUAGUAUGACAAAGUUUAUAUUGAACUAAAACACUAAUGUAAAUUUUUGAACUAAUCAAUGCAUUUUCUCCAGUCUUAAAACAUUUGUUUAUCGUACGUGUCAUGGCCCAUAACUCCUCCAUAUUACUUGUGUUUUGUCCUUUUUCAUUUCACUGAAGAAUAGGUAGAGGUAUUGCACAUCCAUUUUUAACAUCCUGAUUUUGUAAAGUGUUGUAUGUAAGGUUUUAUCUCGGAAUUAUGUCUCAUCUAAAGGUGGGGAGAGGUAUUAAUUAUGCCUUCUCGUCUAUCCGCAUUAAGCCUGUCUGGCUUUAAGAGGACAAGCUGCUGGCCAGAUUUUGAUGAAACUUCACAGGACUGAUCAGUACCAAGCAUAGUGUUGUGCAUAUCGCUUGCAUGUUUCGUUUUGAUGCACUAAAUUGCAGCCAUAGCUAAAAAUAGAAAAAUCU
rnacentral:lncRNA from 1 species